AAUUUAAUUAAUUGCCUAUAAUACUCUGCAUUCUACUCUUCUCUCUCAGUGAGGGCACAGUUGUGUUGAGUCAUGAGGUUUCAUUCUCUUGAUUUUUGAAUGUACGAUAGCAGUUUUUCUGAAUUGGGAGUGCGAAGAAGGAAUCGAAAUCGAAAUCGAAAUCGGAUGGGUGCUCCGAAGAAAAGCGGCGCUAGGGUUUCAGUUUCAGAGGACCCCGACGAACUGGUGCGGGUUCCCUUGCAGGCCAUUCUCUUGGCUGAUAGUUUUACCACCAAGUUCAGACCUAUCACGCUCGAACGCCCCAAAGUGCUGUUGCCGCUGGUGAAUGUUCCGAUGAUAAAUUACACCUUGACCUGGCUCGAAUCUGCUGGCGUCGAAGAGGUUUUUGUUUUCUGCUGUUCUCAUUCCAAACAGGUCAUUAACUAUUUGGAGAAAUCUGAGUGGUUCUCUCAACCAAAUUUUACGGUAUCAACUAUUGAGUCACAGAAUUCCGUGAGCGCCGGAGAUGCUCUUCGCGUAAUAUACGAACGUAAUGUGAUACAUGGAGACUUUAUCCUUAUCAGUGGAGAUACUGUAAGCAAUAUGUCGCUUACUCAGGCACUUCUAGAGCAUAAAGAAAGGAGGAAAAAAGAUAGUAAUGCUGUGAUGACUAUGGUCAUUAAACGGUCGAAACCUAAUCCAGCUAUCCAUCAGUCUCGGCUUGGAACUGAUGAACUUUUCAUGGCAAUUGAUCCUAAUACCAAGCAACUUUUAUAUUAUGAGGAUAGGGCAGACCAUUCAAAAGGAAUUCUACAUCUUGAUAAGUCAUUGCUUGCUGAUAAUCCUUCCCUCUCUCUGCACCAUGACAAGCAGGAUUGCUACAUUGACAUCUGCUCACCAGAAGUCCUUAGCCUAUUUACAGACAAUUUUGACUACCAACAUCUAAGGCGUCAUUUUGUCAAGGGAUUGCUUCUUGAUGAUAUAAUGGGAUACAAAAUUUUUGUUCAUGAAAUCCACUCAGACUAUGCUGCAAGGGUUGAUAAUUUCCGAAGCUACGACACUGUCAGCAAGGAUAUAAUUCAUAGAUGGACGUAUCCAUUGGUGCCAGAUGUAAUGAAUUUUGGCAACACAGCUACUAAACUUGAACGACAAGGAAUGUAUCGUGCUUCAGAAAUAUCAAAAUCACAAUCUGCUGUUAUUGGCCCUUUCACUCUCAUAGGAUCAGGCACCAAAAUUGGGAAUAACUCUAAAAUUUCAAAUUCUGUUAUUGGAGAAGGAUGUAAAAUUGGGUCAAACGUUAUCAUAGAGGGAUGCUAUAUAUGGGACAACAUCACCAUAGAAGAUGGCUGUAAGCUCCAGCAUGCAAUUGUAUGUGAUGGGGUGACUAUAAAGUCAGGUGCUAUUCUGGAACCAGGUGCUAUUUUGUCUUUCAAGGUUGUAGUUGGGCCAGAGUUUCUUGUUCCUCAAUAUUCAAAAGUAUCUCUCUUACCGCAGCCAAUCGAAGAAGAUAGUGAUGAGGAGCUUGAAUACGCAGAUAGUACCAGUGCCAUCAACAGCAAAGUGGAUAAGCCAAAUGCAGAGAUUGCUUCCCAAGUAUCGGAGACUCACUAUAGUCCUGCAUCAGAGCUAGGUGUUGGCAGUGUUGGUCAUGUUUGGUCACCAUGUGAAGGAGGCCAUGAAGAAGAGUGGAGGCAUUCAGUGGCACGUAUUCCUGCUGAUAAAAUUCUGGAGGCAAUGCAAUCUAUGGAAGAUGAACUGGAGUUGAAUCACGAUGGCAGUUUACUUCCCCCUUCUGGUGAGCUGAAACCUAAUUCUAAUGAUUCAGAUGAUGAUGAUCAUGACGAUUCUAGAGAUGACUCUUAUUACUUUGAGAAAGAGGUUGAAGCAACUUUUCUCAGGGCUGUGCAUGAAAACAUACAAGAAAGCCAUUUGAUAUUAGAAGUUAACUCUCUGAAGCUGAGGGGAGGAACCAAAUAAAGACUCAUUGUUUUGCAUUAUCAUUGAAAAGAGAAGGAAUUGUGCUUUUUAAGACCAUUCAACUUCUAAAUGCUCUUUUGUAAACAUGUUAAAGAAUUGCCACUCUGUUUUGUUUAGAAGGUUGUCAUACAAUAAGCUAACUGCUGAUUGUGCUGGAGCUGUAUUUUAUGCCAUGAUGAAGCAUGCUUUAGACAGACCCCAUAGUUCAUCUGAUGGCUUGCUUCAAAAUGUUCAGGCUGUAUUUACAAAAUGGAAAAAGGUUCUUACAUCCUAUCUAACUGACAUAGACGAGCAGAUUGAAGUAAUACUUAAAUUUGAAGAGAUGUGUUUGGAAUCUGCUAAGGAUUUUGCUCCAUUGUUCACAAAGGUAUGCUUAUCUUCUGCAAGUUAGAUUGAUUGAUAUGCCUUCCUUCUGUUUGUAUGAACAUUUGUAAAUUGAACUAUAUAUGUCGCUGCAUAUCUUUCAUAGCUAUCAAAUGGAUUUUUAUAUCUUUCAUAAGUUUGGCUUGUUAUCAUGUGGGUCGUUUAAUGCCCAUAAGAUAGAAAACCUAUAACGACAGACUCAACUUUAAAAUGAAUCCCAAUUUAUGCAUUACUAUUCUAUCUAAAUUUAGUCAAUUAACAAUGUUACGAACUGAAUUUAGCACGAAAGGUCCGUACAAGUGCCCAUGCUCUCAUCAUUGUGUAUCUAAGUCUGUCGGUGGCAUCAAAGUACUUCUGUGAUAUUGAGAUAUGGACCUUUUUUACUGUAGAAUUUCCCUGCUGCUCAUAUUCUUCUUCCUUGUAACAACGGUUUGCUGUUUCACAUUCUCACGCAACAUUUGGCUUUUCCCUCUUGUUAUGGCUUAUUAAUUGCUUUCAGAUAUUGCACUACUUCUAUAAUGAAGAUAUUGUAGAAGAAGAUGCGAUUUUGAGCUGGGAAGAUGAGAAAAAAGAAGCCGAUGAAACAGAUAAAGUUUUUGUUAAGCAGGCCGAAAGAUUAAUUCAAUGGUUAAAAGAGGCAUCGGAAGAAGAAGAUGAUGACUAGUAAGAAUAGAUAGGAUUUUGCUAUUCUGGAUAUAUUCUAUAUCUUUUGCAAGUUGCUGUCAUCUCAGCAACAUAAAAGGGACUUUAGUGCCUUUAUCUGCCCCGUAAUUCAAGUGGGGAGUUAUUUUGACAUGUUUCUGUGCAUACGAUGUGGAAGAAUUUAAUCUGCGGAGAAUUUGAAAGCUUUAGAAGAACCCAGCUCUCUGGUUCCGAGUUUGUUACAUCGUGUGAUCCCUUACCUGUCAAUUUUAUCCACUCAGCACUGCAGGUGAAGUGGUAUGAGUUUCUUAAAUUAGUCCUUUGAUUCCUUGAUUAGUGUUCAACUCUGGCUUUCGAAAUGCUUAGGCGAACUAUAGUGAUUAUUAUUAGGUUAAAAGGAAAAAACUCCUCCAAUUUUGGAUCAUGUAUGAUUUAAUAAUGCCUAUAUGGCCCGGCUUAAUAUAUAUAUAUAUAUGCUUGAAAAGUAUUGGACAU